UCCACAGAGCUGCUCAGUCAGCUGAGCUAAUUGCCUCUCUGAAAUCUUCUCUUGCACCUGUCCCUUGCCAUGCUACCCCAACUAAUCUGAGGGUUGCUUGUGUUCCAGCACUUUGAAAUUAAAUUGCUGGAGGCCUGAGUGCAAAAUGAAGCUAAGCUGUGUUCUAUCGGCCAUAAGCAAUAGCAAAUGCAGGUGAAGAGCCCACAGAUAUUCCUGUUUCGGUCAAGGCAGCAUCUCCUUCCUACAUGCACAAACCAGGUGGAUUUUGCAGACAGUUUGGAUUCUCCACCACAGUGUGCUUUUGCCUGGUGAGGGAGCUGUGUCCCUUCUGCCCUGCAGCCAUACCGCCUGAUCUCCUCCUGCUCCAGGCGCAGCUCCCGCACCACCUCUUCAAAACGCUGCUUCUCUGCUUCCAGGAUCUGGUUCAGACGCUCGAGUUCCUGUCCCAAACGAGAAGACAGGAAUGUACUCUGCCAACACAGUUAGGAGAGGCUCCUCUGUUAACAGUGCCUGGGACUUUUAACAUGGCACUUAACCCAAGCUGUGUAGAGCUACAGGGUGUCUGACUCCACCACGCUUUUGUCCAGGGGCAAUUAGAAGGAUUUGGGGUUGCCUGAGGAUUUUCAAACAUCCAGAAGCCCCAGGCAGGUUACCAAGCACCUGGAAAUCUCAGACAUGCUCCUUGCAGAGGUCAGCUCGGCCACAUAUAUAAAAAAGGUCCAAAACUCCCUGAGAAUGCUGGACUUACUUGUAUGUACCAUUUUCACUUGUAUGUUUCAGGCACCCACACAUACAGACACAGAAAAGCCAGACAGCCUCAGAAUGCAGCAGCUCUGGGAUUUCUGUGCCUGAACUGUGAUACUUCUACCAGCUCAGCCUUUCUUCCCACCCCAACUGGGGCAGGAAAACACAAACCAUUCAGUUACAGCUUUGUCACAGUUUAAUCAGCCUGUCACUAUCUUUGUGCUGAUAAAACCAAAACUCAGUAAGGAUCCCUCCCUCUCCUGGUCAGGUCCACUUGCAGCCAUAGUGGCUGUGCAGAGCUCCUGCUACAGGCCCCUGCCAGUCACAGAACAGUGUUGGCACUGGAUAAAUUCAUAAUAAGACUCUUGCUCUGUGGUGCAGGUACACAGUUGGAGCUGCUUUCCCAACAUACUGCUCUGAAGCCUUCAGGGUCCCAGAGGGUCAAACCACAAACUUCAGUGAGAUCUACAUUCAGUCCUUCACAGCACCAAACUCCUUCAAAUGAACCCAGCCCCAUCUGCUCUUUGUGGGCAAUGGAGUUACUGUGUAUGGCUUUGGAAGAGCAGAGAUUUGUUCCAAAAUCUUCAGACAAGGUCAUUUCCCCCACUGUGGCUGUGGGCUGUGCAGCAGGCCACCUCACCAUCUCACCAGAGGGAGAUGUCUCUCUGCAAAGGCAAAAGGAGCUUAGCCCUAAGCAAGUGUCCAAGCCACUUUUGGAUUUUCGCUCUCCAGAAAUGUAUGCAAGAAAAGGCUUGAGAAGCCUAGGUCAGCAUUUCCAUCUUUUCCUAAGGAGAGGCAGCAGUCAUUUUGGAUUAACUGGAAAAGAGCAUGAGGCACUUUGCAAUGUUGUGACAUGGUGGUCCAUAUCCAUGCAGACUUUCCAACUGGACAAUCCGUUUGCACAGCUAUUUUGCCAUGACUUUAUGAUGAUGCUAUAAAAAUCAGUAUAGAUUUGGCUCAGUAAAUAUAAGGAUGUGCUACUUUUUAUAUUAAGCAAUUACAAGCUAGGAAUAGUUUGAAAAGCAAUUAUAAACUUGAUAAAGCAGCCUGGCCUAGUGAAUGUCCCUCCCUGCCGAUGGCAGGGGAGUUGUUACAAGAUUAUCUUUAAGGUCCCUUCCAACCCAAGCCAUUCUAUUCUAAGGUAAAUUAAGGUAUAACAGUCACAUCUAAGGGAGUGCUCUCUUGAUUUUUCCCCAGUGCAACAUUUUUUAUUCUCCCCAUCUCUGUUGUGUCCAAAGAACAAACCAUAUUGUUUUUUGUGCUCCUUGUUUCUCACAACAGUAUCUUUAUGCUAAAACAAUGUUUGUUUACUUGUUUUCUAAUUGUGGAGAUGGCCACAUUAAUUGCCAAAAUCUUCUUGAAUCUGCCAAACAACAAUUGUGUAAUUCAGUCCAGUGAGUAUGAUUUUCAUUUGAUCUUCCUCCCUGGUCCUCCUGGAGUCAUAAUGACAAACCUGCUGCAUGGAAAGUAACAGGGAAAGGGAGCAGGGAAACAUCUCCAUGACCCAUCUCAGGCACAAGUCUUACUUGUCUUUUCAGCCACAGGACCCAGAGGUUGGCUGAAAAAUCUUGAGCCUCCACAAGCCUCUCUCCCGGAACAUUGACAUGCCUUCAAACCAACAAGUCCCAACCUCCCAGCCCUGCCACAUGGCAGCUGAAGGAAAUUGGCUUGUGAUGAACUCACCUCUUUUUGCUCCCUCUGCAGACAUAGCUCCUCUGUUUCUUCCAUUAGUUUAUCUGCAAGCACACAAAAAAAGUCCAAGCACAGAGAAAAGCAUUUUAUAUCCUCAGGAUAUUUACAAACAAGAAACACUGAAUUUUUGAAGCCUGAAAAUGCAGCAUUCCCUAUUCCUUUGUGUGAGUCUGUCUGGGAGGCUCCAAAGGCUGAGAUGGCACUAAUGGGAUGUUCUAUAACUUCCCUCCCGCAAAACAACUUAAUCAACUAAACAAGCAUAUUGCUUUGUACUCCCUCUAAGGUUUCCUCUCGAUGUUCUUAAAGAGCAUUAAUGAACCAUCCUUCACCAUCCUCCAGCUGAGUCAGGAAAAUAUUCUUAUCUCUGCUUCACAGAUAAGGAACAAGGCACAGAAAGGUCAAGUGAGUGCAGAGGGUCACACCACAUGUAGAAGCAGUCAGUUUUCCUGCAGCUCACCUGCCUAGUCCAUCAUCCUCUCCUCAGCCCUCUUGGGCAGCACUGCCAACUUCCUAUCAUCACCUUGGGAUGUCUCAGCCAAGCCCAGAAAUCAAUCCCUAACUUAGCCACAAAACUUCUGCUGUACAGAGCAGUUCCCCUCAACAUCAGUUGCUCUUGUCCUCUGAACACACACACACACCCCCAGCAGAGGCUGUGCUCUGUCCUCACGCUGCAGCCUGAUCACCUCUGCUGUGCCAGCUCCAAGCUCAGCAGCUCUGCCUCGGGCAGCUCUUAGCCACACUUACAGGAACCCGGAGAGAAACGCUUCUGGUGGUCAAGCCUCGGGUUUAGCUCUCAGCUCUGCCACCUGGCUGCCACGGGAGCAGGGCAGAUUGACUGGAGCACUUCUGUCUUCCUCUUGAGAGGUGAGUGAGGCGCUACUGGUUUCCCUGGUACUGAGGACCUGACAAGGUUCCUGCUGCUGGCAGCAUUACUACUUCUAGGAGGAAUGCAGACCUCUACCUCCUGCCCAGAGCAGGGCUCCUGGUGCCAGAGAAAUAGUGUUACAUUACCCAAGCUCUGCUGAGCACCACUGAUGCCUUUCUUUCCCACUCUCUCCCUCUUCUCCCUGGCCAGAGCUCAGCACAGAUGCACUGUACUAACAGAGGCUCUCCCACCCUCCCUCUUCUGCCACUCCUGGGGGGUCCCAGCCCUGGACCUGAUGGCUUCUGUAAUGUCCAUGUGUGACAGUGAAACCUGGAUCCCAGCUGGCUGGAAGAUAACUCAGUGUGGAUUCAAGAAAUUCCUCAGAGCAGUGUUUGUCCAGAGAACCUUGACCUGCUUUCAGGAACAGUGCCUGACCUCAAAGCUUGACUACAGGGUGGACACAGAUCAUUGAAGGUCCUCCUCUCAGUAGCCCCCGUUAUUCCUUUGUCAAGUGUGGAACCACUUCUCCCUGCCUGCCUCACGUAUGAGCCCAUCCAUCACCUCACAUGGGUGAAUGAUGUUCAGAUGGACAGAGUAAACAUGCCUUGAUACAUACUUGAGCUAUGAUCACUGUCACUUGUAAGACCAUAUACUGAGAUCAGCCCUGAUCAGCAUGGAUGCAGAAAUGCAAAAAGCUCCUUAAGAUUCCUCCAGUGGCUUGACAAUUAGGAGUAGAAGAAUGAGCUCCUGCUCAAGGCAUCAUCAACCUGAAGCACCCAAAUUUCUGCUAUCUUAUUUAAAGCAGAUAACUCUCCAGACAAGUCACUGGGCCCACACUUGUGACCUGCAGCCCCCAGGUCAGAAGGUCUCUUAGACCUGGGGAAUGCUGUAACUCAGAGGGCAUCUGGAUUAAAAGGGCUACUCUCCCUUGACUCUUCCUAUAGGCAACGAGGGAAAGAAAUAACUGGACCUCCCAAGGCAGUCAGAGCAUCCAAGGUAUCAGGCCAUGCAGAGGUUGGCUCCCAAAUAGGGAACUGGAUUACAUAAUCUACCUCUCUUCAUACCUAGAUUACUUCACGUUCAUCUGUUCUUUCUCCACUGUUUACAGAGAGCACUGACAAAUUAACUACUGCCAUUAGAUACCUCAAACAAGCCCAUGUAAAUGCUCCCACUUCCAAUAUGAACAGUGAGCAAGUAGAGUAAGACCAAAUAAAACACCAGCUAGGUGAAGAAAACUCAUAUAUGAAAAUCUGUGACCAACCUCAGAAGUAUCAGUCCUGUCUGAUUGAGGGAGACAAAGGUAUUGUCUGUUUGCUUGUGAGCAGCUGAAACUAGCACAUCCAAACCUCUCAGGGGUGGCAAAUGUUUGUACAGAUGAGCCAUGGAGGACUGCAGAAUGUUGGGCAAGGCAUGUUCCUCCUUCACACUCCACACAGAUGUCCAGAUCCCACCUUAACUUUUGCAUGUUUUGACUCCCUUCAGACCCGAAUUUCAGCUGCUGACUGCUCAAAAGCUUCAUCCAGAGAAAACCUGUAGCUGCUUGUCUUGACCACACUGACUACUCCAGGAAAAGCAAAAUUACUAUUUUGGCCUUUAUGGCUUUUCAAAGUAAGAGUUUCCUACCUAAAUAUUCCUGUUUCUCCUUGGCCAGCUGUAGUCCUUGAGCUUCCAGGCUCUCGAUCAUGGCUUCUCCCAGCUGGGCAUUCUUCCAGGUCCUAGGGAGAGCAGACACAAAGCAGGCAAUGUAAGAGAGCUAAGGGUCCCACAGACUAGGACAGAGAAUUCAGCCUAGCAAACUACCAAGGAAUUCAAACAUGCAGACUCUCAUCAGCUGGGACCAUAAUUCCCUAAAAGUUUUCUCCACAAAUGGAUUGGAGAAAUUUCCCUGGCAUUCAGUAUUUUUUUUUAAUACAUUGGCUGUAUUUCAACCCCUCACAGCUAUUCAAAUUUUUUUUCCAGUGUUUUUGAGAUUUUUAUAUUGAACUUAAUUUUGAGGGCUCUCCAGAACAAUCCAGCACAUUCACAGCCUUCAACUGCAACAGGAUAUACCUGGAACUCUUUAAAUGACAGACUUUAGAACCAGAUUUUAGCUUUUAACUCUAGUAACUUCCCACUGCCAGCAACAUUGUCUUCUUCAGCCUUUCCAAGAUUUUGCUGUUAGAGUCACUCUUCCCCUUCCAACUUCAACCACUUCUUGAAUCCUUCCUAUGGCCUUUUACCUUCAGUCUUUCUGGUAUCCAUCAUCCAUUCUGGAACCAAUCAACCCCUCCUCUGCUAAAGGUGUAA